rnacentral:rRNA from 1 species
ACGAAAUACUUCAUGAUUAAGGCUAGCGGUAGGAAGCGUAGGAGUAAAAUUUUCAGAUUCAUACAGGAUGAGGGGAUCAUCCAAGGGGAUGAGCAGCUCCUUAAAUAUGCGACUGAUUUUUAUAAGAAGCUCUUUGGGCCUGUUGAAUUACUUCCCGUCUCCUUAAACAUUCCUCUAACUGAUAUGCUUUCCGAUGUGGACAAAAGUAAGUUGGCUAGUAAAUUUACUUUGGAUGAGAUAAAAACGGCUGUUUUUUCUAUGAGGCAUAAUAGAGCAGCCGGUCCCGAUGGUAUGCAUAUUGAAUUCUUCCAAACCUUUUGGCACCUCAUUUGCAAUGAUUUGUUGAGUCUCUUUCAAGAUUUUUAUGAUGAUAUGAUUGAUAUUUCUAGGCUAAACUAUGGGGUAGUUACAUUGUUAGCUAAGGGUCAAGGGGCGGAUAGGAUUCAGAUGUAUAGACCUAUAUGCAUGCUCAAUGUCCCGUUUAAAAUCUUUACCAAAGUCUUAAACAAUAGAGCUAUGACUACUGCUCACAAGACGAUUUCUAAGGUACAAUCUGCGUUUAUCAAAGGGCGUUAUAUU